UGCUUCACCACGUCCCCCUGAUUUCUUCCCCUAACCCAGCUAGGGUUCUCACCGCCGCCGCUUCUCUGCUGCCACCCGAUCACAUCUCUCCUCCCCUACGCUCCGGGCCGCACGACGUCGCCGAUUCCGCCUCCUCGUGCGACGCCACACCCGAUCCUCUUCUCCAGAAGCUGCCGCCUCCCUUGCAAUGCCACCACCCGAGGCCCUCCACGGACACCACCAUCACGGACGUAUCUUGGACAGCAGACCCCAUGAUGGUGGAAGGAAGAGCAAGAGGGGGGCGUCGAGGCUGGCCGCCGCCAUGAGGAACCGGCGUCCGUGCGCGCGGUGAUGGCAUGGUGGCGGAAGAAGGUUGUGUUCCCAAGUGCAUCGUGUGCUGGCCGCCGUCUCCAUCCGCGUCCGCGCUCGCAAGACAGAACAGACGGUGAGGACGGUGAAUCACACCAUCUGGAAGGAGGCACUGGGGCAACAUCAAGAAGUUCUGUUAAACUGAUUCAUAGCGGCGUUUCAAAGUUCAAUCAGAAGAAGCGCGGCUUUGUGGUUUCUACAGGAUGGAGAGGCACCCUGCACAUCCCUGAGCUGAACAAGCUAAAUCUAAAGUUGGAUGUGUUCUUGCUUACACAUGUGGACAUAGAUAAGAGGGCAAUUGUAAUCCACGAUGAUAGAAUACCCAUUUGAUGGCAUGGACAUUGGGAUGGUAUUCGGGAUCCCCUGCACAUGCGCUUGCAUUGCUAACAAAAAGAAUGACUGCAUUCAGUCAGCAGCCAAGGAGAUUAGAAGUCGUUUAGGGAUUGUAUAGGAUCAGAAGAAGGAAGAAGUUUGAAAGAAGCUCAAGCAGUACUGGAAAAGAAUUAUAACUCACCAAUGACAGAGAAGGAGCUGCAUGAUUCCAAGACAAUACUUAUUGUUUUCCUUGUGGGACACAUGAUGGCACCGAUGGCAAAAUAUGAUUAUUCAAGCCUAACAUAUUGGCCAGCGCUUAUGGGUCCUGGCAAUAUUUUGAAUUACAAUUGGGGUUAAUAUGUCAUUGAAGGCAUACUAGAAGCGGAUAACAAGCUAAAGUGUGAUGUCACGAGGAAGAAAUCCACGAACAACAUAACUGGGUGUUUACUGUUCCUUCAUGUAUUUUAUCUCGAUAGCCUUAACCUGGGUGAAAUAACGAUGCAGCAUGACAUUCUUUUGAGAAUCAAGGCGUUCAACAACAAGAUUAUGAGGAUCAUGAUCAAUGAUGAUUGCAGCCGAUCUAUAUAUCAGCAAUGAUCAGAAGUUGAUUUCAGAGCAUCCAAGGUAUACUGAGUGCAGAGUAUUAUCAUGAUCAUUAUGAAUUGCCUUUGCUUGUUGUCUACCAACAGUCAAUUAUAAUCCAAUAGCCAAGAGGAGAGAAGAAAGUGAGGAGGAGAAAGGAGGGGUGGGGUGGUGGCUAAAAGAGGUGGCCUGAUAGAGGUAAGGUGAUGUCGCCGAAGGAAAGCAAUGACACACCCUAAGACUGGAGCACAUGGCCUUCUGGUGGUAUCAUUAGUCUCUAUAUGUAUCCAUUUGUUUCUGUGGCAAUACAUGGAUAAUUGACUAGGUAAACUUAGUAACUGAUCAGAAUUAAUGUGUAUUUUUUUAUUAAGGAUACCGGACACUGUUUAAAUAUAAUGAGAUUCCUUGCAACCUCAUAGAAAGAAUUCAGGACUUCCUUUUUGGGAACUCGGGCUUCACUUCAUAUCUUUUACAAGUAGCGAUUUUUACUUUGUUUCUUCAAAUUAUGUUUGAUUACACAUUUUUUUCUGCCUCUGUAUCUUAUCAGGGAACGGCGACCAAUAGAUCAAAAGAUUUUUUGUUUGAUAGGAAGCAUAAAACACAAAGAAACAUGAAGCCCUUGCUGGACUUGACAUAGGCAUCAGCGAGCAUGGAGCAUGGUCUUGAGGUGCGAGUUGGACGGGUGGAUGUACUUGACAAGGAGCAAUUAGACGUGAGCAUGCAUGGCGGGCAAUGCCGCCGACGGUCAGGCGGAUAAGAAGACCAAAGAGGAAGGCCGCAUCAGGCAUGCAUCUUCGAUGAUGCAUGCCUGUGCAUAUUUGUGGGGGAAUGGUGCUACCUUGAGGCAAAGUGUCUUUUUGGGAAGGUUGCCGGUAGAGAGAAGUUCUAUAGUUUGGCUUGCGGAGUAACAUAGACAGGCAUGCUGGUGCUAUAAGGCUAUAUCCAUGGUUUAAUUUCGCCUCACCAUUCCUGCUUGUUGGAACAUGUUUGAUGUACUUGCACAUUAAAAAGAGUGUAUGAAACCCUUUACAAAGCCAUUUGUAUCCAGUAUCCUAUAGUAAUAGA